rnacentral:tRNA from 1 species
UGGCUCAGAGGUAGAGAACCUGCCUGCAAUGCAGGAGACCUGGGUUUGAUCCCUG